AGAGACAGCAGUCGCCGCGGUAAUACGAAGGGGGCUAGCGUUGUUCGGAAUUACUGGGCGUAAAGCGCACGCAGGCGGCUCGAUAAAUUAGAAGUGAAAGCCUUGGGCUUAACCUGAGAAUUGCUUUUAAGACUGUCGAGCUAGAAUCCAGAAGAGGGUAGUGGAAUUCCGAGUGUAGAGGUGAAAUUCGUAGAUAUUCGGAAGAACACCAGUGGCGAAGGCGACUACCUGGUCUGGCAUUGACGCUCAUGUGCGAAAGCGUGGGGAGCAAACAGGAUUAGAUACCCCGGUAGUCCCUGUCUCUUAUAC
rnacentral:rRNA from 1 species